rnacentral:rRNA from 1 species
GACGAACGCUGGCGGCGUGCCUAAUACAUGCAAGUAGAACGCUGAAGGAUGAUCUUGCUUCUCUGGAUGAGUUGCGAACGGGUGAGUAACGCGUAGGUAACCUGCCUGGUAGCGGGGGAUAACUAUUGGAAACGAUAGCUAAUACCGCAUAAUAGUAGAUUUUGCAUGACAUUUGCUUAAAAGGUGCAAUUUCAUCACUACCAGAUGGACCUGCGUUGUAUUAGCUAGUUGGUGGGGUAACGGCUCACCAAGGCGACGAUACAUAGCCGACCUGAGAGGGUGAUCGGCCACACUGGGACUGAGACACGGCCCAGACUCCUACGGGAGGCAGCAGUAGGGAAUCUUCGGCAAUGGACGGAAGUCUGACCGAGCAACGCCGCGUGAGUGAAGAAGGUUUUCGGAUCGUAAAGCUCUGUUGUAAGAGAAGAACGAGUGUGAGAGUGGAAAGUUCACACUGUGACGGUAUCUUACCAGAAAGGGACGGCUAACUACGUG